AUUGAACGCUGGCGGCAGGCCUAACACAUGCAAGUCGAACGAGUGGCGGACGGGUGAGUAAUGUCUGGGAAACUGCCUGAUGGAGGGGGAUAACUACUGGAAACGGUAGCUAAUACCGCAUACCAUCAGAUGUGCCCAGAUGGGAUUAGCUUGUUGGUGGGGUAACGGCUCACCAAGGCGACGCUCCCUAGCUGGUCUGAGAGGAUGACCGGACACACUGGAACUGAGACACGGUCAAGACUCCUACGGGGGGGAGCAGUGGGUAAUUUUGGACAAUGGGCGAAAGCCUGAUCCAGCCAUGCCGCGUGUGGGAAGAAGGUCUUCGGAUUGUAAAGAACUGUAAGUUGGGAGGCGUUACCAGCAGAAUAAGCACCGGCUAACUUCGUGCCAGCAGCCGCGGUAAUUC
rnacentral:rRNA from 1 species